GACGAACGCUGGCGGCGUGCUUAACACAUGCAAGUCGAACAGAAAGGCCCUGCUUUUGUGGGGUGCUCGAGUGGCGAACGGGUGAGUAACACGUGAGUAACCUGCCCUUGACUUUGGGAUAACUUCAGGAAACUGGGGCUAAUACCGGAUAGGAGCUCCUGCUGCAUGGUGGGGGUUGGAAAGUUUCGGCGGUUGGGGAUGGACUCGCGGCUUAUCAGCUUGUUGGUGGGGUAGUGGCUUACCAAGGCUUUGACGGGUAGCCGGCCUGAGAGGGUGACCGGCCACAUUGGGACUGAGAUACGGCCCAGACUCCUACGGGAGGCAGCAGUGGGGAAUAUUGCACAAUGGGCGGAAGCCUGAUGCGGCAACGCCGCGUGCGGGAUGACGGCCUUCGGGUUGUAAACCGCUUUCGCCUGUGACGAAGCGUGAGUGACGGUAAUGGGUAAAGAAGCACCGGCUAACUACGUG
rnacentral:rRNA from 1 species